rnacentral:rRNA from 1 species
GAUGAACGCUGGCGGCGUGCCUAAUACAUGCAAGUCGAGCGAACGGACGAGAAGCUUGCUUUUCUGAUGUUAGCGGCGGACGGGUGAGUAACACGUGGAUAACCUACCUAUAAGACUGGGAUAACUUCGGGAAACCGGAGCUAAUACCGGAUAAUAUUUUGAACCGCAUGGUUCAAAAGUGAAAGACGGUCUUGCUGUCACUUAUAGAUGGAUCCGCGCUGCAUUAGCUAGUUGGUAAGGUAACGGCUUACCAAGGCAACGAUGCAUAGCCGACCUGAGAGGGUGAUCGGCCACACUGGAACUGAGACACGGUCAAGACUCCUACGGGAGGCAGCAGUAGGGAAUCUUCCGCAAUGGGCGAAAGCAUGACGGAGCAACGCCGCGUGAGUGAUGAAGGUCUUCGGAUCGUAAAACUCUGUUAUUAGGGAAGAACAUAUGUGUAAGUAACUGUGCACAUCUUGACGGUACCUAAUCAGAAAGCCACGGCUAACUACGUG